rnacentral:rRNA from 1 species
UGGGGAAUAUUGCACAAUGGGCGCAAGCCUGAUGCAGCCAUGACGCGUGUGUGAAGAAGGCCUUCGGGUUGUAAAGCACUUUCAGCGGGGAGGAAGGCGAUAAGGUUAAUAAUCUUGUCGAUUGACGUUACCCGCAGAAGAAGCACCGGCUAACUCCGUGCCAGCAGCCGCGGUAAUACGGAGGGUUCAAGCGUUAAUCGGAAUUACUGGGCGUAAAGCGCACGCAGGCGGUCUGUCAAGUCGGAUGUGAAAUCCCCGGGCUCAACCUGGGAACUGCAUUCGAAACUGGCAGGCUAGAGUCUUGUAGAGGGAGGUAGAAUUCCAGGUGGAGCGGUGAAAUGCGUAGAGAUCUGGAGGAAUACCGGUGGCGAAGGCGGCCCCCUGGACGAAGACUGACGCUCAGGUGCGAAAGCGUGGGGAGCAAACAGG